AGUGAACGCUGGCGGUAGGCCUAACACAUGCAAGUCGAACGGCAGCACAGUAAGAGCUUGCUCUUACGGGUGGCGAGUGGCGGACGGGUGAGGAAUACAUCGGAAUCUACUUUUUCGUGGGGGAUAACGUAGGGAAACUUACGCUAAUACCGCAUACGACCUACGGGUGAAAGCAGGGGAUCUUCGGACCUUGCGCGAUUGAAUGAGCCGAUGUCGGAUUAGCUAGUUGGCAGGGUAAAGGCCCACCAAGGCGACGAUCCGUAGCUGGUCUGAGAGGAUGAUCAGCCACACUGGAACUGAGACACGGUCCAGACUCCUACGGGAGGCAGCAGUGGGGAAUAUUGGACAAUGGGCGCAAGCCUGAUCCAGCCAUACCGCGUGGGUGAAGAAGGCCUUCGGGUUGUAAAGCCCUUUUGUUGGGAAAGAAAAGCAGCAGGUUAAUACCCCGCUGUUCUGACGGUACCCAAAGAAUAAGCACCGGCUAACUUCGU
rnacentral:rRNA from 1 species